rnacentral:misc_RNA from 1 species
UUUCCGUUGGUGAACCUGCGGAGGGAUCAUUACUGAGUGAGGGCUUCGGUCCGACCUCCAACCCUUUGUGAACACAACUUGUUGCUUCGGGGGCGACCCUGCCGUUUCGACGGCGAGCGCCCCCGGAGGCCUUCAAACACUGCAUCUUUGCGUCGGAGUUAAAGUAAAUUAAACAAAACUUUCAACAACGGAUCUCUUGGUUCCAGCAUCGAUGAAGAACGCAGC